CCCAUUAGACUGCUGAACAGCUCCUACCCCCAAGCCACCAGACUGCUGAACAGCUCAUCAAAAUGGCUACCCAGACUAUUUGUAUUGAGCCCCUUUAUUAUUUACACUGAACCUUGCACUGGACUCUACUCACACAUACUACACUGACAGUUCCAACACACUGACUACAUAUGCUCACACACACUUAAUAUCUAUCCUGAUUACCAAGUCACUUACCUACAUUCCCUUCAGAACGUAUUCACACCCAUUGACUUAUUCUACAUGUUGUGUUACUGCCGGAAUUGAAAAUGGAUUACAUUUAGAUGUUUUGUCAGUGGCCAAUGGGGACUUUAAUACACAGUCAGAGUUUAAUGGUCAGAAACCUGAGUAUGGAUCAACAACAUUAUAGUUAUUCUACAAUACUAACCUAAUUGACAGAGUGAAAAGAAGGAAGCCUGUACAUAUUCUAGAACACAAAACACAUUCUAGAACAUGCAUCCUGUUUGCAACAAGGCACUAAAGUGAAACUACAAAAGAUGUGGUAAAGAAAUUCACUUUUUGUCCUGAAUACAAAGUAUUGUAUUGGAUUUUCCCCAAACAUAUUACUGAGUACCACUCCCCAUAUUUUCAAGCAUAGUGGGGGCUGCAUCAUGUUAUGGGUAUGCUUGUAAUCAUAAAGGACUGGGGAGUUUUUCAGGAUAAAAAAAUAAACGGAAUGGAGCUAAGCACAGGCAAAAUCCUAGAGCAAAACCUGGUUCAGUCUGCUAUCCACCAGACACUGGGAAAUGAAGUCACCUUUCAGCAGGACAAUAACGUAAAACACAAGGUCAAAUAGACACUGGAGUUGUUUACCAAGAAGGCAGUGAAUGUUCCUGAAUGGUCGUGUUACAGUUUUGACUUAAAUCUAUGGCAAGACCUGAAAAUGGUUGUCUAGCAAUGACCAACAACCAAUUUGACUGAGCUUGAUGAAUUUAUAAAAUGACAAAAUAUAUAUAUAUUUUUUAAAUGGGCAAAUGUUGCACAAUCCAGGUGUGGAAAGGUCUUAGAGACUUAAAUCUGUAAUCAAAGAUGCUUCUACAAAGUAUUGACUCAGGGGUGUGACUAAUUGUGUAAAUUAGAUACAGUUGAAGUCGUAUGUUUACAUAGACUUAGGUUGGAGUCAUUAAAACUUGUUUUUCAACCACUCCACAAAUUUCUUGUUAACAAACUAUAGUUUUGGCAAGUCAGUUAGGACAUCUACUUUGUGCAUGACAAGUAAUUUUUCCAACAAUUGUUUACAGACAGAUUAUUUCACUGUGUCACAAUUCCAGUGGGUCAGAAGUUUACAUACACUAAGUUGACUGUGCCUUUAAACAGCUUGGAAAAUUCCAGAAAAUGAUGUCAUUGCUUUAGAAGCUUCUGAUAGGCUAAUUGACAUUAUUUGAAUCAAUUGGAGGUGUACCUGUGGAUGUACACUGCUCAAAAAAAUAAAGGGAACACUUAAACAACACAAUGUAACUCCAAGUCAAUCACACUUCUGUGAAAUCAAACUGUCCACUUAGGAAGCAACACUGAUUGACAAUAAAUUUAACAUGCUGUUGUGCAAAUGGAAUAGACAACAGGUGGAAAUUAUAGGCAAUUAGCAAGACACCCCCAAUAAAGGAGUGGUUCUGCAGGUGGGGACCACAGACCACUUCUCAGUUCCUAUGCUUCCUGGCUGAUGUUUUGGUCACUUUUGAAUGCUGGCAGUGAUUUCACUCUAGUGGUAGCAUGAGACGGAGUCUACAACCCACACAAGUGGCUCAGGUAGUGCAGCUCAUCCAGGAUGGAAUAUCAAUGCGAGCUGUGGCAAGAAGGUUUGCUGUGUAUGUCAGCGUAGUGUCCAGAGCAUCGAAGCGCUAAAAGGAGACAGGCCAGUACAUCAGGAGACGUGGAGGGCAACAACCCAGCAGCAGGACCGCUACCUCCGCCUUUGUGCAAGGAUGAGCACUGCCAGAGCCCUGCAAAAUGACCUCCAGCAGGCCACAAAUGUGCAUGUGUCUGCUCAAACGGUCAGAAACAGACUCCAUGAGGGUGGUAUGAGGGCCCGACGUCCACAGGUUGGGGUUGUGCUUACAGCCAAACACCGUGCAGGACGUUUGGCAUUUGCCAGAGAACGCCACGUUGCACCACAGACUGUCCAGGAGUUGGCGGAUGCUUUAGUCCAGGUCUGGGAGGAGAUCCCUCAGGAGACCAUCUGCCACCUCAUCAGGAGCAUGCCCAGGUAUUGUAGGGAGGUCAUACAGGCACGUGGAGGCCACACACACUACUGAGCCUCAUUUUGACUUGUUUUAAGGACAUUACAUCAAAGUUGGAUCAGCCUGUAGUGUGGUUUUCCACUUUAAUUUUGAGUGUGACUCCAAAUCCAGACCUCCAUGGGUUGAUACAUUUGAUUUACAUUGAUCAUUUGUGUGAUUUUGUUGUCAGCACAUUCAACUAUGUAAUGAAAAAAGUAUUCAAUAAGAAUAUUUCAUUGAUUCAGAUGUAGGAUGUGUUAUUUUAGUGUUCCCUUUAUUUUUUUUAGCAGUGUAUUUCAAGGCCUACCUUCAAACUCAGUGCCUCUUUGCUUGACAUCAUGGGGAAAAUCAAAAGAAAUCAGCCAAGACCUCAGAAUUAUUUUUUUGUAGAGCUCCACAAGUCUGGUUCAUUCUUGGGAGCAAUUUCCAAACACCUGAAGGUACCACGUUCAUCUGUACAAACAAUCGUACGCAAGUAUAAACACCAUGGGACCAUGCAGCCAUCAUACCGCUCAGGAAGGAGACGCGUUCUGUCUCCUAGAGAUGAACGUACUUUAGUGUGAAAAGUGCAAAUCAAUCCCAAAACAACAGCAAAAGGACCUUGUAAAGAUGCUGUAGAAAACAGGUACAAAAGUAUCUAUAUCCACAGUAAAAUUAGUCCUAUAAUUGACAUAACCUGAAAGGCUGCUCAGCAAGAAAGAAGCCACUGCUCCAAACCACCAUAAAAAAGCCAGACUACGGUUUGCAACUGCACAUGGGGGGGGGCAAAGAUUGUACUUUUUGGAGAAAUGUCCUCUGGUCUGAUGAAACAAAAAGAGAAUGUUUGGCCAUAUUGACCAUCAUUAUGUUUGGAGCAAAAAGGGGGAGGCUUGUAAGCCAAAGAACACCAUCCCAACCGUGAAGCACGGGGGUGCUUUGCUGCAGGAGGGACUGGUGCUCUUCACAAAAUAGAUGGCAUCAUGAGGCAGAAAAAUUAUGUGGAUAUAUUGAAGCAAUAUCUCAAGACAUCAGUCAGGAAGUUAAAGCUUGGUCGCAAUGGAUCUUCCGAAUGGACAAUGACCCCAAGCAUACUUCCAAAGUUAUGGAAAAAGGUCAACAAAGUCAAGGUAAUGGAGUGGCCAUCACAAAGCCCUGACCUCAAGCCUAUUGAUAAUUUGUGGGCAGAACUGAAAAAGCAUGUGCGAGCAAGGAGGCCUACAAACCUGACUCAGUUACACCAGCUCUAUCAGAAGGAAUGGGCCGCAAUUCACCCAACUUAAUGUGGGAAGCUUGUGGAAGGCUACCAGAAACAUUUGACCCAAGUUAAACAAUUUAAAGGCAAUGCUACAAAAUACUAAUUGAGUGUAUGUAAACUUCUGACCCACUGGGAAUGUGAUGAACGAAAUAAAAGCUUAAAUAAAUCAUUCUCUCUACUAUUAUUCUGACAUUUCACAUUCUUAAAAUAAAAAGGAGGUGAUCCUAACUGAUAGAUGGGUGAGAUUAUUUUAUCCAUUUUGAAUCCCGGCUGUAACAACAAAAUGUGGAAUAAGUCAAGGGGUAUGAAUACUCCGAAGGCCCCGGAGACUCCGAAGGCCCCGGAGACUCCGAAGGCCCCGGAGACUCCGAAGGCCCCGGAGACUCCGAAGGCCCCGGAGACUCCGAAGGCCCCGGAGACUCCGAAGGCCCCGGAGACUCCGAAGGCCCCGGAGACUCCGAAGGCCCCGGAGACUCCGAAGGCCCCGGAGACUCCGAAGGCCCCGGAGACUCCGAAGGCCCCGGAGACUCCGAAGGCCCCGGAGACUCCGAAGGCCCCGGAGACUCCGAAGGCCCCGGAGACUCCGAAGGCCCCGGAGACUCCGAAGGCCCUGUACAUGUGAAUAUUACAUCAAUUAUCUUAACCUGGUAUCUCUGCACAUUGACUCCGUACUGGUGUGUGUGUGUAUAUAUUAGUACUCUGCAUAGUUGGGAAAAGGCUCAUAACUAAGCAUUUCAUGGUUAAGUCUACACCUGUUGUAUUCGGCGCAUGUGACAAAAUGUAACUUUACAUCAGAAAAAUUUGCACACAGAAGAAGUUAUUAGGAUAAUUCAGUUGCUACUGGCAGCCUGCAGUACCCCGGUUGGCCUUCAACUUGAGAUACUCAAUGAGAGGGGGCAGCACUGAGCUAGCCCGCAAAGUCACUUCCUGGAGUAGCUCACUCUACAUGUUAUGUCUACAUACAUAUUUGAUUUCCUUGGCUUCAAAUGAGCUAUUUUGAGUCCAUUGUGUCACAACAGACUGGUGAGAAAUACUCAUCGGACCGUGGCUGAGUGGGCUGGAGCGGUUCUCCUCCACGCUGACAUGCACGUGUUCCCAGCAGUGAAGAACGGACACUCACUCACUCACACACCCCCACACACACACACACCCCCACACCCACACCCACCCACUCACUCACACACCCCCACACCCACACUCACCAACACACACCAAAAAUGUUGUGUACGUUGUUGUGUUUGUAUACGUCUUGAGGACGUUGUUGGGUCUGUACUAGGUUUCUGUCUGUUGUCACCUGUACAUGGUUGGGUCUGUACUAGGUUUCUGUCUGUUGUCACCUGUACGUUGUUGGGUCUGUACUAGGUUUCUGUCUGUUGUCACCUGUACGUGGUUGGGUCUGUACUAGGUUUCUGUCUGUUGUCACCUGUACGUGGUUGGGUCUGUACUAGGUUUCUGUCUGUUGUCACCUGUACGUGGUUGGGUCUGUACUAGGUUUCUGUCUGUUGUCACCUGUACGUUGUUGGGUCUGUACUAGGUUUCUGUCUGUUGUCACCUGUACGUGGUUGGGUCUGUACUAGGUUUCUGUCUGUUCUCACCUGUACGUUGUUGGGUCUGUACUAGGUUUCUGUCUGUUGUCACCUGUACAUGGUUGGGUCUGUACUAGGUUUCUGUCUGUUGUCACCUGUACGUUGUUGGGUCUGUACUAGGUUUCUGUCUGUUGUCACCUGUACGUGGUUGGGUCUGUACUAGGUUUCUGUCUGUUCUCACCUGUACGUUGUUGGGUCUGUACUAGGUUUCUGUCUGUUCUCACCUGUACGUGGUUGGGUCUGUACUAGGUUUCUGUCUGUUGUCACCUGUACGUUGUUGGGUCUGUACUAGGUUUCUGUCUGUUCUCACCUGUACGUGGUUGGGUCUGUACUAGGUUUCUGUCUGUUGUCACCUGUACGUGGUUGGGUCUGUACUAGGUUUCUGUCUGUUGUCACCUGUACGUUGUUGGGUCUGUACUAGGUUUCUGUCUGUUCUCACCUGUACGUGGUUGGGUCUGUACUAGGUUUCUGUCUGUUGUCACCUGUACGUUGUUGGGUCUGUACUAGGUUUCUGUCUGUUCUCACCUGUACGUGGUUGGGUCUGUACUAGGUUUCUGUCUGUUGUCACCUGUACGUGGUUGGGUCUGUACUAGGUUUCUGUCUGUUGUCACCUGUACGUUGUUGGGUCUGUACUAGGUUUCUGUCUGUUCUCACCUGUACGUUCUCAAUCUUGGACUUGGCGAGCAGCAACUUCUUAUCGUAAUCCCGCUGCCUCUGUUCUCGCUCCGCCUCUAACUCCUGCACGGCCUUCUGGGAGUCCGCUAGCCGCUGACGCAGGUCUGUG